rnacentral:rRNA from 1 species
AUUAACAUAAAGAGUCGAACCUGCCCAAUGAUAUUUUUAAAUGGCCGCGGUACUCUGACCGUGCAAAGGUAGCAUAAUCAUUUGCCUUAUAAUUGAAGGCUAGUAUGAACGGUUUGACAAGAGUAGCACUGUCUCUACUAAAUUUUAUAGAAUUUGGUUUUUAGGUGAAGAAACCUAAAUAAAAUUGAAAGACAAGAAGACCCUAUCGAGCUUUAAAAAAUUUUUCUUAAAGAUUUUAGUUGGGGCGACUAAGGAACAACAAAAGCUUCUUUUUUAUAUAUAAACUUAUAUGUUUUGAUCCAAAAAAAUGAUUAAUAGAAUUAGUUACCGUAGGAUAACAGCAUAAUCUUUUUUGAGAGUUCUUAUCGAAAAAAAGGUUUGUGACCUCGAUGUUGGACUAGGAUAUCCUAAAGGUGUAGAAGCCUUUAAAGGUUGGUCUGUUCGACCAUUAACA